rnacentral:rRNA from 1 species
AGGGAAUCUUCCGCAAUGGACGAAAGUCUGACGGAGCAACGCCGCGUGAGCGAAGAAGGCCUUCGGGUCGUAAAGCUCUGUUGUUAGGGAAGAACAAGUAACGUAGUAACUGGCGUUACUAUGACGGUACCUAACGAGAAAGCCACGGCUAACUACGUGCCAGCAGCCGCGGUAAUACGUAGGUGGCAAGCGUUGUCCGGAAUUAUUGGGCGUAAAGCGCGCGCAGGCGGUUCCUUAAGUCUGAUGUGAAAGCCCACGGCUCAACCGUGGAGGGUCAUUGGAAACUGGGGGACUUGAGUGCAGAAGAGGAGAGCGGAAUUCCACGUGUAGCGGUGAAAUGCGUAGAGAUGUGGAGGAACACCAGUGGCGAAGGCGGCUCUCUGGUCUGUAACUGACGCUGAGGCGCAAAAGCGUGGGGAGCAAAC